rnacentral:rRNA from 1 species
UACGUAGGGUGCAAGCGUUGUCCGGAAUUAUUGGGCGUAAAGAGCUCGUAGGCGGUUUUGUUGCGUCGGCUGUGAAAUCCCGAGGCUCAACCUCGGGUCUGCAGUCGAUACGAGCAAACUAGAGUGUUUGCAGGGGGAGACUGGGAAUUCCUGGUGUAGCGGUGAAAUGCGCAGAUAUCAGGAGGGAACACCGGUGGGCGAAGGCGGGGU